CGGGUAGGGGAUUAAAAGGGAACCAGGUGAAAAUCCUGGACAGUCCCGCUGCUGUGAAACUCUAUUUUAAACUUUCUGAAGAAUACUCAGUACCACUGAUGUGGCGUUGCACAUCGGGAAGGUUUCAGGAAGGGAGUCAGUCAGAAGACCUGCCAUCAUUCAU
rnacentral:ncRNA from 1 species